UACGGAGGGGGCUAGCGUUGUUCGGAAUUACUGGGCGUAAAGCGCACGUAGGCGGCUUUGUAAGUUAGAGGUGAAAGCCCAGAGCUCAACUCUGGAACUGCCUUUAAGACUGCAUCGCUUGAAUCAUGGAGAGGUUAGUGGAAUUCCGAGUGUAGAGGUGAAAUUCGUAGAUAUUCGGAAGAACACCAGUGGCGAAGGCGACUAACUGGACAUGUAUUGACGCUGAGGUGCGAAAGCGUGGGGAGCAAAC
rnacentral:rRNA from 2 species